rnacentral:ncRNA from 2 species
CUAGCAUCGCAGUGCGCUGGUCUGCCAAAUAUGGCUAGGGAACACGGUGAAAUUCCGUGACUGACGCGCAGCGGUGAUAGAGAACGAAAGCACACGGACGUAAGUUCCAAACACUGUUUCAGACAAUUGCGCAAUGCAAUCGGUAUGAAGCGGGAAGUUGUUGCCUAGGUGGUUACCCAAUCAUGCUCUUAAGUCCGAAGACCGACCAGUGUACAAAGCAAAUC